rnacentral:rRNA from 1 species
GAUGAACGCUGGCGGCGUGCCUAAUACAUGCAAGUCGAGCGAAUGGAUUAAGAGCUUGCUCUUAUGAAGUUAGCGGCGGACGGGUGAGUAACACGUGGGUAACCUGCCCAUAAGACUGGGAUAACUCCGGGAAACCGGGGCUAAUACCGGAUAAUAUUAUGUACUGCAUGGUUCAACAUUGAAAGGCGGUUUCGGCUGCCACUUAUUGAUGGACCCGAGUCGCAUUAGCUAGUUGGUGAGGUAACGGCUCACCAAGGCAACGAUGCGUAGCCGACCUGAGAGGGUGAUCGGCCACACUGGGACUGAGACACGGCCCAGACUCCUACGGGAGGCAGCAGUAGGGAAUCUUCCGCAAUGGACGAAAGUCUGACGGAGCAACGCCGCGUGAGUGAUGAAGGCUUUCGGGUCGUAAAACUCUGUUGUUAGGGAAGAACAAGUGCUAGUUGAAUAAGCUGGCACCUUGACGGUACCUAACCAGAAAGCCACGGCUAACUACGUGCCAGCCGCCGCCGUAA